rnacentral:rRNA from 1 species
GACGAACGCUGGCGGCGUGCUUAACACAUGCAAGUCGAACGGAGCGAAUGAAAGCUUGCUUUUAUGAGCUUAGUGGCAAACGGGUGAGUAACACGUAGACAACCUGCCGACAGGAUGGGGACAACAUUCCGAAAGGAAUGCUAAUACCGAAUGAAGUCGAGGGAAGGCAUCUUCCUUCGAUGAAAGAUGGCCUCUGAAUAUGCUAUCACCUGUUGAUGGGUCUGCGUCUGAUUAGCUGGUAGGUGAGGUAACGGCUCACCUAGGCGACGAUCAGUAGCCGGUCUGAGAGGAUGAACGGCCACAUUGGGACUGAGACACGGCCCAGACUCCUACGGGAGGCAGCAGUGGGGAAUCUUCCGCAAUGGGCGCAAGCCUGACGGAGCAACGCCGCGUGAGUGAAGAGGGUCUUCGGAUCGUAAAGCUCUGUUGACGGGGACGAACGUACGGAGUGCAAAUAGU